rnacentral:lncRNA from 1 species
AACGAUCCAUCUGGAAAUAUGUUUCAAUUCAAUAAGUCAAGUGAUAGUGAUUUGACUUUCCCUGGCCAGGGUACUACUUAAUUGAAAACACAAGGCAUUCACCCUUAUUUCUAAGGGAGGUCAAUCCCAUCUUGAUCUGCAACUGACUACCACAAGUACUUGACCGGACCCAGAAACCUUUCGUCGCUGGAUUAGAAAUCCAGGUAGUCCGGCACCAAAGUACAGUGAGUUGCUUGCAAGCCACCGGUUGCAAUCUCAGGUCUAAAGGAUACAUAUACCCAUAUCCACU